rnacentral:rRNA from 1 species
CCUACGGGUGGCAGCAGUAGGGAAUCUUUCACAAUGGGCGAAAGCCUGAUGGAGCAACGCCGCGUGCAGGAUGAAGGCCUUCGGGUUGUUAACCGCUUUUAUAAGCGAGAAAUAUGAUGGUAACUUAUGAAUAUGGAUCGUCUAACUACGUGCCAGCAGCCGUGGCCAUACGGAGGAUCCGAGCAUAAUCCGGAGUGACUGGGUGUAAUGAGGUGCGUAGGUGGCAUAAUUAGUAGCUAGUGAAAUUGGGUGGCUCAACCAUUCAGACUAUUAGCUAAACUGUUAAGCUCGAGACCGUUAGGGGCAUGUGGAAUUACUAGUGUAGGAGUGAAAUGCGUAGAUAUUAGAAGGAACACCAAUAGCGUAGGCAGGAUGCUGGGACGGUUCUGACACUGAUGCACGAAAGCGUGGGGAGCAAACGGGAUUAGAUACCCCGGUAGUC